rnacentral:rRNA from 1 species
AUUGAACGCUGGCGGAACGCUUUACACAUGCAAGUCGAACGGCAGCACGGACUUCGGUCUGGUGGCGAGUGGCGAACGGGUGAGUAAUGUAUCGGAACGUGCCCAGUCGUGGGGGAUAACGUAGUGAAAAUUACGCUAAUACCGCAUACGAUCUAUGGAUGAAAGCGGGGGAUCGCAAGACCUCGCGCGAUUGGAGCGGCCGAUAUCAGAUUAGGUAGUUGGUGGGGUAAAGGCCCACCAAGCCAACGAUCUGUAGCUGGUCUGAGAGGACGACCAGACACACUGGAACUGAGACACGGUCCAGACUCCUACGGGAGGCAGCAGUGGGGAAUUUUGGACAAUGGGCGAAAGCCUGAUCCAGCCAUUCCGCGUGCAGGAUGAAGGCCCUCGGGUUGUAAACUGCUUUUGUACAGAACGAAAAGGUUUCUACUAAUACUAGGAGCUCAUGACGGUACUGUAAGAAUAAGCACCGGCUAACUACGUGCCAGCAGCAGCCGCCG